UUUCUUUCACCUCCUGUUCUCUCUCCAGCCUUGCAGCUUCAGGACUGCUGAUCCUGAUUAUGCUGUGCAAAGGGUGUUCGUUCCACGGUCACACUGUCUCUAUGAGGCAGCAACGUCUAGGAGUGUUAUCCCCAUUGAGGGGGCAGAGAAACCAAGGAAGGAGGAGGGCAGGUGCUGGCCCAAGUCACACACAGAUGAAGGCACACAUGGUCACGCAUACCUGGGAAAGCUUAGCAGCACUCCUGGCUCUCCUCAGGAGUUCAUAGAACCCUGCGCUGUGUGGACCACCGAGCUCAGAAGGGUUGCUGUGUGAUGCUCGAAUCAGGAGGCUCUGAUGGACUCUUCCCUUCUCUGUCUCUCCAGCAUCUGACUGAGGCACGUUUAUGGGACUCUGGCGAGGAAGACUCCAGUUUGCAGAACACCUCCAAUGUAGGCAGAGCACCAAUCUAAGCCUGCAGAGACUAGAUAAUAACAGUUGGAAGAUGUCUUUCUUCCCUCCUUCCUUCCCCUUGCGCCCCCUCCCCAAACUAGAAAGUGAUGGGAUCUUUGUGUCAUUUGCAUGAUGACUUCUGGGACUCCUGUGAAUUAGUUGCUUCUUCCUUCUAUAUUUCCACAACCCAGGGCCACUGCUUAAAUUGAACAAAUGAUGCAUCACAAAACUACAACGGGACUCUUCAAAUUCACGGUCGGCGCAAUCUGUAUGUAAUUGUAUUGCAACAAUUGUCCAGCAGAUGGCAGUAAAGUGUCAUGAAACAGAGUUGCCUGGUGACCUGUGCUGCACCUUUGUGAGUUAGCGGCGACCAGGCUUCACACACUGGACUUACUGGAGUCACUACUAAGCCAAGGCCACAGCAGAAAGACCACUGCGUUUUGCAUGACCUAGGGGCUCCAAGUCGGCCUGGCUGCACCAGAGCCCUUUCAAAACACGCGGUUUAGUUCAGGGCUCACAUUGGCCAUUGCCUGGUUUUGUUUGGCCAGCAAGGAAAACGUGCAAAGCCCUGGAUUGCUCCUUUGGGACUUCAUCAGCUGCAAACCCUCACAGUAUUUUUGUGUGUUUGGAAGUAAGAAGAGAGCAAGCGAGGGCUGAGACCUAAUGGGAAGACCCGGCGGCUGGGAGAAGGGCUCCUGGCCAGGAUCCGUGAGUCGGCUUCUUGAAGUGAAAGACAGAACUCUCUGCUCUUCAGGUUCUAUCAGUGCAAAGAGGGCCCACUAAGACCCACUCUGCAGGGCUGUUGAGGAAAGCCCCAUCUGACAGGCACCCGACAAAGCUCCUCACACUCCGUAAAUGCCACCCAUCAUGAAUGUGGCUAUGAUUAAAUUGUGAUGAGGACUGUGACCCACAAGACUGGAAAACCAGUUUGGCACCUUGAUGCAGAUGUUUUCAAGGACUGGGUUAGAGAAUACAUACCAUCAUUCUACUUUUAGCUGUUUUGUUUCAUUAAAACCUUUUUGGUUUUAAUGAAACAAACCAUAACAUGUAUGACAACCAUAACAUGUAUGACAACAUAGCAUGACAACCAUAACAAGUACAAUAUUUUGGCCAAUUUCAUUUAAUUUGGCACAUAGAAUGGAAGAAAUAUUAAGAUAUUAUUUUCUACAUGACUAUGUAGCUGGGAUGAUUGGAACUGAAUCAUUUAUUGCACAUUUGAAUGGUUAAUUUUAUUAUGCUCACAUUGUGUACAUAUUCUGUGGCUUAUAUAUAAUCAGUAAAUAUUCUAUGACUUAUUCCUCUUCAGAAACAUGUGGAAAGAUGAACAAAAAACAACCACAGCAUGACAGGGUUAGGGAAUUCUAGAAAUGGAAAAGAUGUUAAAAAUGGGUUUAUAGUAAAAUCCAACAUCUAGAGGAAGGAUUUAAAGUCUAAGCAGAAACCCUUUCUGGCGGUCUGCAGAAGUCUCCCAUCUUGCUAAAGUGUCACAUUUGGCACAUAUUCCUGGAAAACGUUUUAGUGUUUUUCAAUUAAAUUCCUUAUUGCUGUCCCUCUUGCCAACCUGCUGUUAACUUGCCUCCCGUUGCUGCACCUUCAGUGAUUUUCCAUUUCCUUUAGGACAGACUCCAGAGAAACUCAUAAUCUGGCACGAACAUAUUAAGACUGUUACUUCUUUCCACGUGUCCUUUGUCCCAGUCUUGGCCUCAGUGUGAGCUCAGAUUUCUGUGAUAGGGAGCCACCAUGCUUUGGGGCUCUGGAGCCAAGGGGGCAGGCGUGUCACGGAGGCGUUGCCUCAUCAUUGGGGCUCUGGGGUUCUCCUGUUACCUCUUUUCACACAUCAGUGUGGUGGAGGUUGUGAUGAGCCGAGAGGGAAUGUCAGUGUUACCAAGCAACCAUGAGCCUAUGAGAACCCAGUCGGGAUUAUGGCCACUUGCACUGCGGGUAGCAGGCAUUUAGUACACAGCAAGGACCUGUGCAUGGACAAUCCUGUGUAGUGUACGAAUCACCUCGUGCGUGCUUGUCUAUUUCCUCCUGUAGCUAAAACACUGCUCACAAGUCCUUCCACAGUUACCUAUUAAAUAAUAGUCACCAUC